rnacentral:rRNA from 1 species
AGCUACGAAGGGAAGCAGCACAAAGCUCAGUAACGCGUAGUUAACCUACCCUCAGGACGGGCAUACCCUCGGGAAACUGAGGUCAAUUCCCGAUAGAUGACUAGGCUUGGAAUGGUUUUUCAUCCAAAGGUAUCAUCUCAUGCGAUGAUGCCACCUGAGGAUGGGAUUGCGUCGGAUUAGGUUGUUGGUGGGGUAAUGGCCCACCAUGCCGAUAAUCCGUACGGGCUGUGAGAGCAGUAGCCCGGAGAUGGAGACUGAGACAAGGCUCCAGGUCCUACGGGGCGCAGCAGGCGCGAAAACUCCGCAAUGCGCGCAAGCGUGACGGGGUCAUCCCAAGUGCCGUCCGAUAAGGUCGGCUUUUGUCCAGCGUAAAUAACUGGACGAAUAAGGGGAGGGCAAGGCUGGUGCCAGCCGCCGCGGUAAAACCAGCUCCUCGAGUAGUCGGGAGGAUUACUGGGCCUAAAGCGUCCGUAGCCGGCCCUAUAAGUUUCCGGUCAAAACCAGCGGCCUAACCGCUGGCUUGCUGGGGGUACUAUAGGGCUUGGGAGCGCGAGAGGCCGAGGGUACUUAUAGGGUAGGGGUGAAAUCCUAUAAUCCUAUAGGGACCACCGGUGGCGAAGGCGCUCGGCUGGAACGCGUCCGACGGUGAGGGACGAAAGCCAGGGGAGCGAACCGGAUUAGAUACCCGGGUAGUCCUGGCUGUAAACGAUGCGGACUGGGUGUUAGGGUGGCUACGAGCUGCUCUAGUGCCGCAGAGAAGUCGUUAAGUCCGCCGCCUGGGGAGUACGGCCGCAAGGCUGAAACUUGAAGGAAUUGGCGGGGGAGCACCACAAGGGGUGAAGCCUGCGGUUUAAUUGGACUCAACGCCGGGAAGCUUACCGGGGGCGACAGCUGGAUGAAAGCCAGGCUGAUGACCUUGCUAGACUAGCUGAGAGGAGGUGCAUGGCCGUCGCCAGUUCGUGCCGUGAGGUGUCCUGUUAAGUCAGGCAACGAACGAGAUCCCCGCGCAUAGUUGCCAGCAGACCCCUACGGGAGUGCCGGGCACACUACGCGGACCGCAGUCGAUAAGACUGAGGAAGGAGGGGGCCACGGCAGGUCAGUAU